UUCCGGUUGAUCCUGCCGGACCCGACUGCUAUUUGGGUGAGGAUAAACCAUGCGAGUUGUAUGGGAUACCUAAAUUUCCCAUAGCAAACUGCUUAGUAACACAUGAUCAACUUGCCCUAUGGAGAAAUAUAACCUCGGGAAACUGAGGAUAAUGCUUCAUAGUUGAAUAGGCUUGGAAAAGUUUUUCAAUGAAAGGGAUAAGAUAAAUGGUUCUUAUCUGCCAUAGGAUAGGAUCGUGCUCGAUUAUGGUUGUUGGUGAGGUAACGGCUCACCAAGCCGAUAAUCGAUAGGGGCCGUGAGAGCGGGAGCCCCAAGAUGGGUACUGAGACAGCGACCCAGGCCUUACGAGGCGCAGCAGGUACGAAACCUCCGCAAUACACGAAAGUGUGACGGGGUUACCCAAAGUGUUCUUAUAGAACUGUGGCAGGUGAGUAAUGUCCCCUGCUAGAAAGGAGAGGGCAAGGCUGGUGCCAGCCGCCGCGGUAAAACCAGCUCUUCAAGUGGUCGGGAUAAUUAUUGGGCUUAAAGUGUCCGUAGCCGGUUUAGUAAGUUCCUGGUAAAAUCAGGUAGCUUAACUAUCUGUAUGCUAGGAAUACUGCUAUACUAGAGGGCGGGAGAGGUCUGAGGUACUACAGGGGUAGGGGUGAAAUCUUAUAAUCCUUGUAGGACCACCAGUGGCGAAGGCGUCAGACUGGAACGCGCCUGACGGUGAGGGACGAAAGCCAGGGGAGCGAACCGGAUUAGAUACCCGGGUAGUCCUGGCCGUAAACGAUGCAUACUAGGUGAUGGUACGGCCAUGAGCCGUGUCAGUGCCGUAGGGAAACCGUUAAGUGUGCCGCCUGGGAAGUACGGUCGCAAGGCUAAAACUUAAAGGAAUUGGCGGGGGAGCACCACAAGGGGUGAAGCCUGCG
rnacentral:rRNA from 1 species